ACUGAACUUAAGCAUAUCAAUAAGCGGAGGAAAAGAAACUAACAAGGAUUCCCCUAGUAGCGGCGAGCGAAGCGGGAAGAGCUCAAAUUUAUAAUCUGGCACCUUCGGUGUCCGAGUUGUAAUCUCUAGAAAUGUUUUCCGCGUUGGACCGCACACAAGUCUGUUGGAAUACAGCGGCAUAGUGGUGAGACCCCCGUAUAUGGUGCGGACGCCCAGCGCUUUGUGAUACAUUUUCGAAGAGUCGAGUUGUUUGGGAAUGCAGCUCAAAUUGGGUGGUAAAUUCCAUCUAAAGCUAAAUAUUGGCGAGAGACCGAUAGCGAACAAGUACCGUGAGGGAAAGAUGAAAAGCACUUUGGAAAGAGAGUUAACAGUACGUGAAAUUGUUGGAAGGGAAACGCUUGAAGUCAGACUUGCUUGCCGAGCAAUCGGUUUGCAGGCCAGCAUCAGUUUUCCGGGAUGGAUAAUGGUAGAGAGAAGGUAGCAGUUUCGGCUGUGUUAUAGCUCUCUGCUGGAUACAUCUUGGGGGACUGAGGAACGCAGUGUGCCUUUGGCGGGGGUUUCGACCUCUUCACACUUAGGAUGCUGGUGGAAUGGCUUUAAACGACCCGUCUUGAAACACGGACCAAGGAGUCUAACAUGCUUGCGAGUAUUUGGGUGUCAAACCCGGAUGCGUAAUGAAAGUGAAUGGAGGUGGGAACCGCAAGGUGCACCAUCGACCGAUCUGGAUUUUUAAUGAUGGAUUUGAGUAAGAGCACGUAUGUUGGGACCCGAAAGAUGGUGAACUAUGCCUGAAUAGGGCGAAGCCAGAGGAAACUCUGGUGGAGGCUCGUAGCGGUUCUGACGUGCAAAUCGAUCGUCAAAUUUGGGUAUAGGGGCGAAAGACUAAUCGAACCAUCUAGUAGCUGGUUCCUGCCGA
rnacentral:rRNA from 1 species